AUCCUGCAUUCUUAUCCACAAUGAAAAAAGAAUUAAUUUUUAUUUUUAAAAAAGGCAUCACCUGCGUGACAAUGAACAGCUGCUUUUCCUUGGUUUACGGCGAAAGACAACACCUUCACGGCGUCCAGUAAGCCCUCCAGCGAACCGUGGUCAUAAUCCUUCCAUCCAAAGUUGUAGUAGUAUACUAUUGCAUGUGUUGUUCAACGUACAAUCACGCAAACAUUAUGUAGGAGAAGCCGGAUGGUGUAAGUGGUGGGCCACAAUGUGCGUGCUCGCCUGCGGUUUGCAGAUUGAUGAUCGUCUUGAUUCCCAAUCUAAUCAAAGAAUCACUACUUAAAGGCGAAAAAAAAAAUGUUCGAGUUCGGACGUGCCAUCGCCAAGAUCUUAUCAGUCACCCUUACAUGGAAAAGAUUAAAAUGGAAGAUUCGAUGAACAUCAUGGCGAAUUGUUAUUCGACUCGUCAGCAAUCGAUUCAGUCAAUAUUUGAUUGUUUUUCGUGUACGCUUUGUUUCGUACUAUUCUCCCCCCCCCCUUUUCAAACCACCUCACUACAACACGUCUCCCCUUUCGUGAAUAUUUAAAAGAUAUCCAGUAGUUGUCUAUUCCACGUGCGUGCUGGUAUUGUUGGUGGCAACUGAUCGCGUUGCCGUGGUCAAUCGAUUCCUCCCCCAGCGGUUACACGUCAAUGGACCAACCACGUAUUUUAAUCCGCUUUUACUUUACAGGAUCAACCAUAAAAUAAUGGAGCUGUGGGAAUAGAAACACAUUUCCCAAAGUGUAACUUUCUGUUUUCAUACUUGUGGCACACGUUCAUACGAGUAAUCGAUUUUGCAGUUAGUGGAACAUCCUCAUCGAACAGGAUAUACGUACCAAUGGG